rnacentral:rRNA from 1 species
AAGGUGCAACGCUGCGGCGCCCUACACAUGCAUGUCGAGCGAGCACAACCCUUCGGGGUUGGGGACAGCGGCGAACGGGUAUACACGUGUGUGUACCCACCCUCGGUUCUGGGAUAGCCCGGGGAAACCCGGAUUAUACCGGAUGGCCUUCCGAGCCCUCGGGCGCGGAAGAAAAGGUAGCUUCGGCCUCCGACCGAGGACGGGCCCGCGGCCGAUUAGCUUGUUGGCGGGGUAACGGCCCACCAAUGCGACGAUCGGUAGCUGGUCUGAGAGGACGAUCAGCCACACUGGGACUGAGACACGGCCCAGACUCCUACGGGAGGCAGCAGUGGGGAAUCUUGCGCAAUGGGCGAAAGCCUGACGCAGCGACGCCGCGUACGGGAAGAAGGCCUUCGGGUUGUAAACCGUUUUCAGGAGGGACGAAGCCACUCGGGUUAACAGCCCAGAGGGUGACGGUACCUCCAGAAGAAGCCCCGGCUAACUACGUGCCAGCAGCCGCGGUAAUACGUAGGGGGCAAGCGUUGUCCGGAUUUAUUGGGCGUAAAGCGCGUGUAGGCGGCCAUGUAGGUCUGACGUGAAAUUCCGAGGCUCAACCUCGGCAGGUCGUUGGAAACCAUAUGGCUAGAGUCCG